rnacentral:rRNA from 1 species
CAGCAGCAGCCACGGUAAUACGUAGGUGGCAAGCGUUGUCCGGAAUUAUUGGGCGUAAAGCGCGCGCAGGUGGUUUAAUAAGUCUGAUGUGAAAGCCCACGGCUCAACCGUGGAGGGUCAUUGGAAACUGUUAAACUUGAGUGCAGGAGAGAAAAGUGGAAUUCCUAGUGUAGCGGUGAAAUGCGUAGAGAUUAGGAGGAACACCAGUGGCGAAGGCGGCUUUUUGGCCUGUAACUGACACUGAGGCGCGAAAGCGUGGGGAGCAAACAGGAUUAGAUACCCCCGUAGUCCCUGUCUCUUAUAC